UACGUAGGGGGCAAGCGUUGUCCGGAAUCAUUGGGCGUAAAGCGCGCGUAGGCGGCCCGGUAAGUCCGCUGUAAAAGCAAAGGCUCAACCUUUGAAUGCCGAUGGAUACUGCCGGGCUGGAGUCCGGAAGAGGCGAGUGGAAUUCCUGGUGGUAGCGGUGGAAUGCGCAGAUAUCAGGAGGAACACCGAUAGCGAAGGCAGCUCGCUGGGACGGUACUGACGCUGAGGCGCGAAAGCGUGGGGAGCGAACAGG
rnacentral:rRNA from 1 species